rnacentral:rRNA from 1 species
CGCGGCCUAUCAGCUUGUUGGUGAGGUAAUGGCUUACCAAGGCGACGACGGGUAGCCGGCCUGAGAGGGUGACCGGCCACACUGGGACUGAGACACGGCCCAGACUCCUACGGGAGGCAGCAGUGGGGAAUAUUGGACAAUGGGCGCAAGCCUGAUCCAGCAACGCCGCGUGAGGGAUGACGGCCUUCGGGUUGUAAACCUCUUUCAGCAGGGACGAAGCGGAAGUGACGGUAGGGGCAGAAGAAGCACCGGCCAACUACGUGCCAGCAGCCGCGGUGAUACGUAGGGUGCGAGCGUUGUCCGGAAUUAUUGGGCGUAAAGGGCUCGUAGGCGGUUUGUCGCGUCGGGAGUGAAAACUCGGAGCUUAACUCCGAGCCUGCUUCCGAUACGGGCAGACUAGAGGUAUGCAGGGGAGAACGGAAUUCCUGGUGUAGCGGUGAAAUGCGCAGAUAUCGGGAGGAACACCGGUGGCGAAGGCAGGUCUCUGGGCCAUUACUGACGCUGAGGAGCGAAAGCGUGGGGAGCGAACAGGAUUAGAUACCCUGGUAGUCCACGCUGUAAACGUUGGGCGCUAGGUGUGGGGGGUCGUUUCAGGCUUUCUGUGCCGCAGCUAACGCAUUAAGCGCCCCGCCUGGGGAGUACGG